rnacentral:lncRNA from 1 species
GGCAAUAACCUCAAUGAAGAACCCGAACAAAUUGGGACUCAUGGGACACCCCUGCUUCACGCCCUGCAGAGAGGCAAAGAUGGACCCUAGGCGACCGUUAACCUUGACCCGUUGGAGAACACGUUCGUAGCUGGCACGCUGAUGGGGGUGCAAACCCGCCGCACAUCUGCUGACAGCCCCCCCCCCUCACUGCCCAGCACCAGCGCCACACCACUGGCCCAUGGAGCCCCCUGACUGGCCGGCACCUCCUCUUCAGCAGCCACUCUUCAAUGUAUUAUUUAGUGUAAUUAUGCAUCUGAUUAGGCACGGCUGGAAUUGAUACACAACACAAGUGCACACACAUACACACACGCAUACACACAUAUACAUAUGCACGCACUCUUGUGGGUCUACUUGCCACACUUUCCCGUCCCUCGCCCCUUUUUUCAGUCAUUAUCAGUCUACCCUCCCUGGCAUCAGCUUCUCUCGUUCAUGGUUCGUCUUCCCCCUUUUUUUUCGUGCGCACACCACACACAUGCAUGUCACGCCAUAUGACGUGCUAACAGACACAAGAAAUGCGGAUGGAUCACAGAGGAUAUAUACACAGCAUUUCAUAAGGUCCGCCCUUAGUGCUUUUACCUCUAGGCUCGACAGGGAUC